rnacentral:rRNA from 1 species
GACGAACGCUGGCGGCGUGCUUAACACAUGCAAGUCGAACGGAAAGGCCCUGCUUUUGUGGGGUGCUCGAGUGGCGAACGGGUGAGUAACACGUGAGUAACCUGCCCUUGACUUUGGGAUAACUUCAGGAAACUGGGGCUAAUACCGGAUAGGAGCUCCUGCUGCAUGGUGGGGGUUGGAAAGUUUCGGCGGUUGGGGAUGGACUCGCGGCUUAUCAGCUUGUUGGUGGGGUAGUGGCUUACCAAGGCUUUGACGGGUAGCCGGCCUGAGAGGGUGACCGGACACAGUGGGAGUGAGACACGGCACAGACCCAUAGGGGAGGGCGGAGGGGGAAAUAUCGCAAAAGGGGGGGAAGCAUGACGAAGAAACCGCGUGUGGGAGAAGAGGGCUUUGGGGUUGAAACCCGUUUGCGUGUGUGAAGAAGUGAGAGGGGGGGAAAGGGAAAAAGACGCAGGGGAAAACCAUG